rnacentral:tRNA from 1 species
CAGAAGAUAGUUUAAUAAAAAUACUAGUUUUGGGGGCCAGUGAUGAAGGGUUAGGCCUUCUCUUUUGA